UUGUAAAUAGCUGGUAGCUCAAAUAAAAUAUGUGUGCAGAAUAAAAGUAUAAAAGUAUUACGUUUUGUUGUCUCGCUUAAUUCAAUGCGCUUUGUAUUCUCAGUUCACAUUUCGCAGGGAUUUCAACAUUUCACACGUAUCUUUAACACACUCUAUUCAUAUACACCUAAUUACUUUAAUUACUUCCCUUUGGGCCUGGUUAAAUAUUAUUGCUCGAGAAUUAGUUGAAAGUAUAUCUUCGCCUAAAUUUAGCGCGUAAAGCAAAAAUAAAAUGGUGUGAUUUAUUAGAUUGUACGCAGAAAAUUACUUGAUUCACAGCAAUUUCUCCUCCAAGGAUAACCCUGGUGUCAUGUUCGUUUACACGACCUUUCUGCAUAAACGCUUUGUUGUUAGGAUAUUAAACUCUAUCCACACCAACAAAUUGAGGAAGCUACCGAAUAUUUUACUGUCUUUCGGGGUGACGGAAAAUCUUGGAGUGGACAACCUAAAACCAAAUGAGAUCCAUGAAUUGUACUGUUACAUAACGAUCGAGCCCAUUCCGUGAUAUAUUGUUCUUAAAUUGUAAAUAUGCGAUGAGGAACUUCGAUAAUUUAAAUAUAACACUGAGUAAGGCCAAAGAAGACAAGUUCAGAGCCUUAAAACCACUUCAAUGUUAGUGACAACAAUACCAUAGAAAUGAGUAACUUUGCGAAUAAUAAAAAAUAAACCAAAAUGUCAAAA